rnacentral:tRNA from 1 species
UCUCCAGUAGAGGAAGGCAAUGCUCUCUCUUUUGGCGAGCGGGGCCGUGAAGGAAACGGCAAAACGAGGGUUCCAAACCUUUAUUGAAGAA